CCAGAAGUGGAAGAGGAAGAGGGCUUUAAAAGUAGGAAAGCAAGCAACUUUCUCACUGAAAACACAGACAAACACUGAUGAACUGAAUCUUUUUUCUCCAGUUUUGAUUUUAUACCCCAAUGGAGCUUUUGAACUUUUGUACUUCCCCUGCCAUGAUCCUGGAGCACACUGCCUCAGUGUUGGGAUGUAGCAUCUUAGAUCAAAAGCUUGCCUUACAUCUUGACGAACAUGAUGCGUUACAACACCUGCGGCAACAUUUCCUGGUCCCGAAAGUUAAAGACCUACCUUACACUGACCUCUCAUGUGUAGAUGAAAAAGAAGAAUGUGUAUAUCUUGUUGGAAAUUCUCUUGGACUGCAGCCUAAACAUGUUAAAACAUAUAUUAAUGAAGAGUUAGAUAAAUGGCACAAAAUGGGUGUUCAUGGUCAUUUUGAAGGCAGUCGCCCUUGGGCUUUGGGAGACGAAUGUAUUGUGGACCUAAUGGCUAAUGUAGUGGGAGGAAGAGUGGAAGAAGUAGCAUUAAUGAAUGCACUGACUGUGAAUUUGCAUCUUCUGUUGCUCUCCUUUUACAAACCAACUUCAAGUCGUCAUAAAAUUCUCAUCGAGGCCAAAGCCUUCCCCUCAGACCAUUAUGCUGUAGAAUCCCAAAUUCAGCUUCGAGGACAAGAUCCUGAAAAAAGCAUGCUGCUGAUGCAUCCCAGAGAGGGUGAAGAGACAUUAAGAAUGGAAGACAUCAUUUCUAUGAUUGAGAAAGAAGGAGAUUUGAUCGCAGUGAUUCUGUUUAGUGGAGUGCAGUACUACACAGGACAGCUGUUUGAUAUGCCAGCAAUUACAAAGGCAGGCCAUAAAAAGGGUUGUUUUGUUGGAUUUGACUUGGCUCAUGCUGUUGGCAAUGCAGAACUGUAUCUACAUGACUGGGAAGUUGACUUUGCCUGCUGGUGUACAUACAAGUAUAUGAAUUCUGGAGCAGGUUCUCUAGCUGGAGCAUUUAUUCAUGAAAAGCAUGCUAAAAGUAUUCAGCCUGUGUUGAUUGGCUGGUGGGGUCAUGAAAUGAAAACUCGAUUUCUUAUGGAUAACACAGAUGCCUUUAUCCAAGGCGACUUACAGAGACUAGGGUGGGUGAACUAUGCAUCAGCUGCAGAGUCACUUACAACUACGUCUCACCCGAAAGACGGAGCACAAGGAUGUUAAGUGACUUGCUCAGGGUCACACAAUGAGGUGGCUGAGGUGGGAUUUGAACCGGGGACCUCCUGGUUACAAGCCAUUUUCUUUAACCACUGGACCACACAGCCUCCUAAAAUAAAAAAGUAAAUACAUAAAUAAAAUAAUAACACAAGUGUGUACAAAGUGUGUUUCAUCCAAAGCCUUGUGAAUCUUAUUUACUUCAGAAUACCAACCACAUCAUUAUAGUAUUAGCACGUUUUCAUCAGUAAGCUUACACUGACCCCUUGUGGUCAUUCAAAUAUUAUUUUUACAUAAUAGCUAUAGAAUGUAAUGUAAAUUGGCGAUACCAUGCUGUAGACAAUUAUGUUUAACCUGUUUCAUUAAUCUCCUAGAACUUCAGUUAAGCCCUGGAAUAAAUGGAUAUCGGAUAUCAAAUCCUUCGAUUUUAUUGGUCUGUGCACUGCAGGCUUCCUUAGAGAUCUUCAACCAAACUAGUAUGAAGGCACUAAGAAAGAAAUCUGUUCUCCUUACUGGUUAUU